rnacentral:rRNA from 1 species
GUGGGGAAUAUUGGACAAUGGGCGAAAGCCUGAUCCAGCCAUGCCGCGUGUGUGAAGAAGGUCUUCGGAUUGUAAAGCACUUUAAGUUGGGAGGAAGGGCAGUAAGUUAAUACCUUGCUGUUUUGACGUUACCAACAGAAUAAGCACCGGCUAACUUCGUGCCAGCAGCCGCGGUAAUACGAAGGGUGCAAGCGUUAAUCGGAAUUACUGGGCGUAAAGCGCGCGUAGGUGGUUCAGCAAGUUGGAGGUGAAAUCCCCGGGCUCAACCUGGGAACUGCCUCCAAAACUACUGGGCUAGAGUACGGUAGAGGGUAGUGGAAUUUCCUGUGUAGCGGUGAAAUGCGUAGAUAUAGGAAGGAACACCAGUGGCGAAGGCGACUACCUGGACUGAUACUGACACUGAGGUGCGAAAGCGUGGGGAGCAAACAGGAUUAGAUACCCCUGUAGUCC